CAUAUCAAUAAGCGGAGGAAAAGAAACCAACAGGGAUUGCCUCAGUAACGGCGAGUGAAGCGGCAAAAGCUCAGAUUUGAAAUCUGGCGUCAUAUUGGCGUCCGAGUUGUAAUCUGUAGAGGAGUAUUCGAGUGUGGCGCUGGCUUAAGUUCCUUGGAACAGGACGUCAUAGAGGGUGAGAACCCCGUUAACGGCCUUUGUCUUAUGCUCAUGUGAAUCUCCUUCAACGAGUCGAGUUGUUUGGGAAUGCAGCUCUAAAUGGGUGGUAAAUUCCAUCUAAAGCUAAAUACUGGCAAGAGACCGAUAGCGCACAAGUAGAGUGAUCGAAAGAUGAAAAGAACUCUGAACAGAGAGUUAAAUAGUACGUGAAAUUGUUGAAAGGGAAGCACUUGCUACCAGACACGCCUGUAGUUGAUCAACCUUCAUUCUUGAUGGUGCACUCAGCUAUAGGUGGGUCAGCAUCAGUUAUGGCGGUGGGAUAAAGACUUGGGGAAUGUGGCUUCUUUCGGGAAGUGUUAUAGCCCCGGGUGUAAUACCAUCUGCUGUGACUGAGGACCGCGCUUCGGCGAGGAUGCUGGCAUAAUGGUCGUAAGUGACCCGUCUUGAAACACGGACCAAGGAGUCUAACAUCUAUGCGAGUGUUUGGGUGUCAAAACCCUUACGCGGAA
rnacentral:rRNA from 2 species